GAUGGAGAAUAAAUGAUCACACUGGGAAGGAAGAGCAACACUCAUUAUAUUCCAGAAAGUCAUUAUUAUUGUGACAGAGGCAAAUUUCAGGAUGAACAGUGCACCAAAGACCUUGCUCAGGAACAUAGUGACUGUGGUAUUGGUUCACCUCAGGCCUUGCUCAGGCAGAUAGUGACCACAGUACUGGCUCAGCCUGGUUGCUGGAGGAACUGAUGGACAGACAUCUUGUUCAACAGCUGAGGGAAAAUUGAGUAUGUGCCAGAAAACAUGACUAUGGGUCGACCAUCUUACCCUGUAAGUAGCAAGCAGCUCAGGAGCUCCUGCAAGCUCUUCUGCACAACAGCCAGCUGCACUAUAGGAUCUCCCCUGGAGAAGGGAUGCCUCUCAAGGUUACACUUGCACAGGGAUCCCUCACACAUUGACAUCAAGACUCCUUACCAAUACAGAUCC
rnacentral:lncRNA from 1 species